ACUCAAAGGAAUAGACGGGGACCCGCACAAGCGGUGGAGGAUGUGGUUUAAUUCGACGCUACGCGAAGAACCUUACCGAGGUUUGACAUCCCAGGAAGACCGCCGAAAGGUGGUUGUGCCUUCGGGAACCUGGUGACAGGUGCUGCAUGGCCGUCGUCAGCUCGUGUCGUGAGAUGUUGGGUUAAGUCCCGCAACGAGCGCAACCCUUGUCGUAUGUUGUCUUUUCAUACGAGACUGCCCGGGCCAACCGGGAGGAAGGUGGGGAUGACGUCUGGUCAGCAUGGCCCUUACACCUCGGGCUACACACGUCCUACAAUGGAUAGUACAAAGGGCAGCCAAGUCGCAAGACGGAGCUAAUCCCAUCAAAACUAUCCCCAGUUCGGAUAGGGGGCUGAAACUCGCCCCCUUGAAGUUGGAAUCGCUAGUAAUGGCGCGUCAGCAUAGCGCCGUGAAUACGUUCCCGGGUCUUGUACACACCGCCCGU
rnacentral:rRNA from 1 species